rnacentral:rRNA from 1 species
AUUGAACGCUGGCGGCAGGCCUAACACAUGCAAGUCGAGCGGAGCGGCCGACGGGUGAGUGAUGCAUAGGUAUCUGCCUGGUAGUGGGGGCUAACGUUCGGAAAGGUGCGCUAAUACCCCAUACUAUCACGUGAGCGUAGGUCGGAUUAGCUAGUUGGUGGGGUAAAGGCCUACCAAGGCGACGAUCCGUCACUGGUCUGAGAGGAUGAGCAGUCACACUGGAACUGAGACACGGUCCAGACUCCUACGGGAGGCAGCAGUGGGGAAUAUUGGACAAUGGGCGAAAGCCUGAUCCAGCCAUGCCGCGUGUGUGAAGAAGGUCUUCGGAUUGUAAAGCACUUUCAGUGAGGAGGCGUUACCCACAGAAGAAGCACCGGCUAACUUCGUGCCAGCCGCCGCGGUAAUAC